GAAUCUGGCUUCAGGUCGGGGAUAACUACUGGAAACGGUGGCUAAUACCGGAUGUGCCGAAAGGUAAAAGGCUUGCUGCCUGAAGAUGAGCUCGCGUCUGAUUAGCUAGUUGGUGUGGUAAGAGCACACCAAGGCGACGAUCAGUAGCUGGUCUGAGAGGAUGAUCAGCCACACUGGGACUGAGACACGGCCCAGACUCCUACGGGAGGCAGCAGUGGGGAAUUUUCCGCAAUGGGCGAAAGCCUGACGGAGCAAUACCGCGUGAGGGAGGAAGGCUCUUGGGUUGUAAACCUCUUUUCUCAGGGAAGAAAAAAAUGACGGUACCUGAGGAAUCAGCAUCGGCUAACUCCGUGCCAGCAGCCGCGGUAAUACGGAGGAUGCAAGCGUUAUCCGGAAUGAUUGGGCGUAAAGCGUCCGCAGGUGGCUAUGUAAGUCUGCUGUUAAAGAGCAAAGCUUAACUUUGUAAAAGCAGUGGAAACUACAUAGCUAGAGUGCGUUCGGGGCAGAGGGAAUUCCUGGUGUAGCGGUGAAAUGCGUAGAGAUCAGGAAGAACACCGGUGGCGAAGGCGCUCUGCUAGGCCGCAACUGACACUGAGGGACGAAAGCUAGGGGAGCG
rnacentral:rRNA from 1 species